rnacentral:rRNA from 1 species
AGAGUUUGAUCCUGGCUCAGGAUGAACGCUAGCUACAGGCUUAACACAUGCAAGUCGAGGGGCAGCAUAUCGGUAGCUUGCUACUGAUGAUGGCGACCGGCGCACGGGUGAGUAACGCGUAUCCAACCUUCCCCUUAGUAGGGCAUAGCCCGGCGAAAGUCGGAUUAAUACCCUAUGUUAUCCAGCGAUGGCAUCUGAAUUGGAUUAAAGGUUUACCGCUAAGGGAUGGGGAUGCGUCUGAUUAGGUAGUCGGCGGGGUAACGGCCCACCGAGCCUGCGAUCAGUAGGGGUUCUGAGAGGAAGGUCCCCCACAUUGGAACUGAGACACGGUCCAAACUCCUACGGGAGGCAGCAGUGAGGAAUAUUGGUCAAUGGGCGAGAGCCUGAACCAGCCAAGUAGCGUGCAGGAAGACGGCCCUAUGGGUUGUAAACUGCUUUUAUACAGGGAUAAAGUCGGGGACGUGUCCCCGUUUGCAGGUACUGUAUGAAUAAGGACCGGCUAAUUCCGUGCC